GACGGAGGAUGCAAGUGUUAUCCGGAAUCACUGGGCGUAAAGCGUCUGUAGGUGGUUUAAUAAGUCAACUGUUAAAUCUUGAGGCUCAACCUCAAAAUCGCAGUCGAAACUAUUAGGCUAGAGUAUAGUAGGGGUAAAGGGAAUUUCCAGUGGAGCGGUGAAAUGCGUAGAGAUUGGAAAGAACACCGAUGGCGAAGGCACUUUACUGGGCUAUUACUAACACUCAGAGACGAAAGCUAGGGGAGCGAAUGGG
rnacentral:rRNA from 1 species